GCUUCAGUAGCUCAGUUGGUUAGAGCGUGUGGCUGUUAACCACAAGGUCGGAGAUUCAACCCCUCCCGGGAGCG
rnacentral:tRNA from 2 species